rnacentral:tRNA from 2 species
GCGCGAGUGGCGAAAUAGGCAGACGCGCUGGAUUUAGGUUCCAGUGUCUUCGGACGUGGGGGUUCAAGUCCCCCCUCGCGCACCA